AAGGACCAACAGCAAGAGAUCUGCUAGUGCAGUACGCCACGGGGAAGAAAAGUUCUAAACACAAGAAAAGACUAGAAAAGGCUAUGAAAGUGCUCAAGAAACAAAAGAAGAAAAAAAAGCCAGAGGUGUUUAACUUUUCAGCUAUUCACUUGAUUCAUGAUCCCCAAGAUUUUGCAGAAAAACUCCUAAAGCAGCUGGAGAGCUCUAAGGAGAGGUUUGAGGUGAAGAUGAUGCUCAUGAACCUCAUCUCCAGAUUAGUGGGAAUUCAUGAGGUUUGAAUUACAUUAUAUUUCUCCUGGCGAAUAUUAGAAGUAGAAUUAUUCCUGGUGAAAGGAAAGCAGUAGUGUGAUGUUAUCCCCUCAAACUAUUUAAAUCCAUACAGUUUACAGAAGAAUAAAAUCUUCCA